rfam:Chlorocebus sabaeus isolate 1994-021 chromosome 9, whole genome shotgun sequence.
GCCUACAGCCAUACUACCUUGAACAUGUCUGAUCUCAUCUGAUCUCAGAAGCAAAGCAGCGUCAGGUCUGGUUAGUACUUGCAUGGGAGAAAAUUUAGAAAACUUACAAGAAGAAAGAG